UUUCCGUAGGUGAACCUGCGGAAGGAUCAUUAUCGUACAAAAUGUGAGGGGCAUGCGAGGGCUGUCGCUGACCCAAAAGUCGUGCACGCCCGAGUGUGUCCUCUUGCAUAAUAAUCCAUCUCACCCUUUGUGCAUCACCGCGUGGGCACCCUUCGGGAUCAUCUCGGAGGGGGGCUCGCGUUUUCACACAAACCCCCCUUCUAAAAGUGUAGGACGACCACAUUUAUGCAAUCAAUACAACUUUCAACAACGGAUCUCUUGGCUCUC
rnacentral:misc_RNA from 1 species